AUUGAACGCUGGCGGAAUGCUUUACACAUGCAAGUCGAACGGCAGCACGGACUUCGGUCUGGUGGCGAGUGGCGAACGGGUGAGUAAUACAUCGGAACGUGCCCAGUCGUGGGGGAUAACGUAGCGAAAGCUACGCUAAUACCGCAUACGAUCUAAGGAUGACAGCGGGGGACCGUAAGGCCUCGCGCGAUUGGAGCGGCCGAUGGCAGAUUAGGUAGUUGGUGGGGUAAAGGCCCACCAAGCCGACGAUCUGUAGCUGGUCUGAGAGGACGACCAGCCACACUGGGACUGAGACACGGCCCAGACUCCUACGGGAGGCAGCAGUGGGGAAUUUUGGACAAUGGGGGCAAGCCUGAUCCAGCCAUUCCGCGUGCAGGAUGAAGGCCCUCAGGUUGUAAACUGCUUUUGUACGGAACGAAAAGGCUCUGGUUAAUACCUGGGGCUCAUGACGGUACCGUAAGAAUAAGCACCGGCUAACUACGUGCCAGCCGCCGCCGUAA
rnacentral:rRNA from 1 species